UUGACGGCAGCGGGUUGUAGCAAUACAAUGCCGGCGAGUGGCGCACGGGUGCGUAACACGUAUGCAACCUACCCUAUACUGGGGCAUAACCUUUAGAAAUGAGGGCUAAUACUCCAUGUAAUUAUGAGAAGGCAUCUUUUUAUAAUUAAAGAUUUAUCGGUAUAGGAUGGGCAUGCGUCCCAUUAGUUAGUUGGUAAGGUAACGGCUUACCAAGACGAUGAUGGGUAGGGGUCCUGAGAGGGUUCACCCCCACACUGGUACUGAGACACGGACCAGACUCCUACGGGAGGCAGCAGUAAGGAAUAUUGGGCAAUGGCCGUAAGGCUGACCCAGCCAUGCCGCGUGCAGGAAGACGGCCUUAUGGGUUGUAAACUGCUUUUUUGUGGGAAUAACCGUAGCUAUGCGUAGCUACCUGCAAGUACCAUAAGAAUAAGCAUCGGCUAACUCCGUGCCAGCAGCCGCGGUAAUACGGAGGAUGCGAGCGUUAUCCGGAAUCAUUGGGUUUAAAGGGUGCGUAGGCUGGUAUUUAAGUCAGUGGUGAAAUUUUCGUGCUUAACAUGAGAGCUGCCAUUGAUACUGGGUACCUAGAGUGUAUUUGAUGUGGGCGGAAUGUGUUGUGUAGCGGUGAAAUGCUUAGAUAUGACACAGAACACCGAUAGCGAAGGCAGCUCACAAAGUUACAACUGACGCUGAUGCACGAAAGCGUGGGGAUCAAACAGGAUUAGAUACCCUGGUAGUCCACGCUGUAAACGAUGAUCACUAGCUGUUGGCGAUAUACAGUCAGUGGCUAAGCUAAAGCGAUAAGUGAUCCACCUGGGGAGUACGUCCGCAAGGAUGAAACUCAAAGAAUUGACGGGGCCCGCACAGCGGAGGAGCAUGUGGUUUAAUUCCAUGAUACGCGAGGACCUUAACUGGGCUUGAACGUAUGGUGCAUUGCAGUGAAAGCUGCAUUUCC
rnacentral:rRNA from 1 species